GACGAACCGAGCGAACGUUGUUCGGAAUCACUGGGCUUAAAGGGCGCGUAGGCGGGUGCUCAAGUCCGUGGUGAAAUCCUCCGGCUCAACCGGAGAACUGCCUCGGAUACUGGGUGCCUCGAGGGUGGUAGGGGUAUGCGGAACUAUCGGUGGAGCGGUGAAAUGCGUUGAUAUCGAUAGGAACUCCGGUGGCGAAGGCGGCAUACUGGACCACCUCCGACGCUGAGGCGCGAAAGCCAGGGGAGCAAACGGG
rnacentral:rRNA from 1 species